UGUUUCAGUAUGACAUUUAUGAAUUGACUGCCAGUCAUGGGGCAAACUGCCAGUCAAGCAAAACUGAGCUGGUCGAGUCCACUCACAGUGCGUGGAACCAUCAUUCAUCUGGGAAGACAACCCCAAUCCGGGCACCGGUUUUCCACCUCAGAGAGAGGAUCUCCAGCUUCUUUCUCAUGUGGCUCGUCAAUCCCCUUGGUAAUGAAGAUCAUUCAUUGCCAUCUGCUCAAGAAACACAGAGGUUAUAAAAUGUUGGAAAUCUAGAUUCCUGUAGAAGAAACUUAUGGAAGGAGCCCAUCAAAACCAGGAAGAUCAGAGCCCUGACCUGCAAGUACUUUGGUGGGACGGCUGCCGUUUUGCUUUCUCCUUUAAGAAGCAAACUCAAAAUUCUCAACUUGCCUGAGCAAACGAAUAAGAAAUGGGAAGAUUUAGGGCACGCUGUGUGACACAUAUAUGCUGAGAUGGCCCUGAAUUUCCUUGUGCGAAUGAAUCUACUGAGUCAAAUCAUGAACCCAGCU